AUUGAACGCUGGCGGCAGGCCUAACACAUGCAAGUCGAACGAGUGGCGGACGGGUGAGUAAUGUCUGGGAAACUGCCUGAUGGAGGGGGAUAACUACUGGAAACGGUAGCUAAUACCGCAUACCCUCGGAUGUGCCCUGAUGGGAUUAGCUAGUUGGUGGGGUAAAGGAUCACCUAGGCGACGAUCCCUAGCUGGUCUGAGAGGAUGACCAGCCACACUGGAACUGAAACACGGUACAGACUCCUACGUGAGGCAGCAGUGGGGAAUAUUGCACAAUGGGCGCAAGCCUGAUGCAGCCAUGCCGCGUGGAUGAAGAAGGCCUUCGGGUUGUAAAGUACUUUCAGCGGGGAGGCGUUACCCGCAGAAGAAGCACCGGCUAACUCCGUGCCAGCAGCCGCGGUAAUAC
rnacentral:rRNA from 1 species